AGCGAACGCUGGCGGCAGGCCUAACACAUGCAAGUCGAACGAACGCUUCGGAGUUAGUGGCGGACGGGGGAGUAACACGUGGGAACGUGCCUGUAUGCUCGGAAUAACUCAGUGAAACUUGUGCUAAUACCGAAUGUGCCCUUCGGGGGAAAGAUUUAUCGCCUUUGGAGCGGCCCGCGUCUGUUUAGCUUGGUGGGGAGGUAAAGGCGCAUCAAGGCGACGAUCAGUAGCUGGUCAGAGAGGAAGAUCAGCGACACUGGGACUGAGACACGGUCGAAAAUCCUACGGGAGGCGGCAGUGGGGGAUCUUGCGAAACGGGGGAAAGCAUGACGCAGCCCUGGCGGGUAAAUGAUGAAGGUGUUAGGAUAGUAAAAUUCUUUCACCGGGGGCGAUAAUGACGGUACCCGGAGAAGAAGCCCCGGCUAACUUCGUG
rnacentral:rRNA from 1 species